rnacentral:lncRNA from 1 species
CCGCCCUGCCCGUGUUCUGGCUUACUGUAAUAUUUCACCUGUAAUAAGACCGAAAUAAUAUAAUUAAAAUAAAGAAAUGAAUGAAUACAUGAUAACAUCUAAAUAAAUGUUGAUAGAUUUAGCGUUAUAGUUUUAAAAAUAUUAAUAAACAGCAAAUCAACACAGAAAGACCUAAAUAAUAAUAAUACAUAAUUAAUAAACAGCGCCGCCCCUCCCACUACGCGCAUCACGCGCUGUGCGUCAACCCCAAAGCGUCAAAAACUGAAGCGUGGUCAAGCGCCUCUAGCGUCACUGACAUGAGAUGUUUAUCGCUUUGAAAUCACGUUCAAGAAGUCUCAUUCAGCACACAUCGCGAUACUUUCCAUCAGUUUGCAAGAGCCGCAGGUUGGGUGAGUUAUACAGUCUAUGCUGAAAAGACGUAAAGUAAGCAGUCACCCCAGUGGUGUUUGUGGAGAGGUAUUCCUUCAGAAAUGGAGAAGACAGAAAGCUGCAGAGGCAGGAUUGUUUCCAGAUAACACUGUAGUUCUCCGUCAUGCACAAGGACUCACCUCUUUAACUCUUUAACCCCCCCCCCUACACACACACACAGAGAAAUGGUUCCUGGAUCAGUGACUCAAGACUUUGCAGUGGUUUGAUUUCUGCAGAAGAUGUAACUUUGUUUUAAUUAACCUUAUAAUGAAUACAUUGUGACCUUCCAGCAACCCAUAUACUGUACUGUAUACAGAACCAGUGAUGACAACAGUAGUUAAAAAAUAGCAUUUAUCAUAUUGAUAAAGCAUUGUGUUCUCUUUGUCAAGCUUCAUACAGUAAACUUUACUUCUGGUGCUUUUAUCAUAAAAAAGCUUCAGUUCUCAUCAGGAGUUUUAGUAAAGGACAUAUUCAUGCACAGCAAUCCCCUAGUUCCAGUCAUGAAGUGAAUGAUGUUAUUGUUAAAGUUAUAUUUCUGCAUUUUUAUGUAGCAGGUGUUUGUUUUCCUGAACACUUUAUCUUUCUUCCAUUGUUCGGACAAUCAGUGUUUACGUGAUGCUCUGCUGAUUGAGUUUUAUAGAUGAUAUUGCACACUUGACAUGCAUGUCUUCAUGAUGUUUUUUUGUGAGUUUGAAACAUUAAGUGUUGUAUCACUUUUUGGUCAAUAGAAUCUUUUAAGAAAAUGUAUAUUUUUACGGUGUUCUCUGAAAGAUAUAUACCAUAUUUAUAAUGUUUUGUUUUUUAAUAAAAGAAUUUGC